CUCUGUCUUCCCCAGAAGCGGAGCAGUUCCAGCCGCGGGCUCCCCCACACAGGAGCCUCCUAUGUCAGGGCCUCCCAGCGCACCUCAGGGCGCACUGGCUGCGCCCCGUAGUCCAGCAGUGCGGCGAAAAGGACUUCAGGCUCCCAGUUGGGGGAGUCCUGGACGGCCUGCAGCGCACAGUCCAUGGGCGUGUGGCCCGCCCCAUUGGGGACCUCAGCGCGGGCCCCGUAACGCAGCAGCAGCUCGGCCAGGCCCCCGCAGCCGUUGGCACAAGCGUUGUGCAGCGGCGUGUGGCGCUUGCGCCCGGCCGCCCGGGCAUCAGCUCCAGCCUCCAGGAGCCGGCGCGCCGCAGCCUGGUGUCGCCUGCAGCUACCUGGGCCCUCGGCCCCAGCGCACGCCGUGUUCAGCGCAGUCUCGCCCUGGCUGGUGCGCAGGCCCACGUCGGCGCCAUGCUCCAGGUACAGAGCCACAUGUUGCUCCAGGCCGCGCGCCGCCGCCACGUGCAGGGGCGUCUCCUGGCUCUCGCCUGCUGCCAGGUUCACCGUCGCUCCUGCUUCCAGCAGCAACUUGGCGCACCUGGGGACAAGAGAGCAAGGUCCUGAGGAAAAUCCUGAAGGCUUGGGACCCCUUCAGCUUGCUGUGACACUCCCUUGCCUUUCCACCCCUCUCAGCUUGAGGUCCUACCUGGUGUCCUCCAUGAGAAUCAUACAAGCCCCGCUACAGACAACAGAAUUGGAAGGUCCUGAGAGCUACCAGAAGCAUCUUCAGUUUUCAUAUGAAAAACUUAAGCCCAGGAGUGAUUUGUGCAGCCAAGGACACACAGCAAGUUAGUGGCUGCACCAGAAAUAGUACUCACUGCCUCAGACAGUCCCUCCCACAGUCUACUCUGUCUCCACCCCAAGGUCUGGUUCUGAAUCAUUCAGUUGUCAGUUGUCUCCUUUUUUUUUUUUUUUUUUGGAGACAGGGUCUCUCUCUGUGGCCCAGGCUGAAGUGCAGUGGUGUGAUUACAGCUCAUGUAGCCUGGACCUCCCAAGCUCAAGCAAUCCUCCUGCCUCUGCCUCCCAAGUAGCUGGGACCACAGGUGGGCAGCACCACACCUGGCUAAUUUUUUAAAUUUUUUUUUAUAGAGACAGGGUCUUACCAUUUGCCCCAGCUGGUCUCAAACCCCUGGGCUCAAGCAAGCCUCCUGCCUUGGCCUCCCAAAGUGCUGGGAUUACAGGUGUGAGCCACCACACCCGGCCUUAUCUCCUAACAUUUUGAUAGCACAAAAUUUUGAAAACCCACUUCUGUGUACGUUAUGAAGCAUAGAAAAUUAAACAGUAUGCACC
rnacentral:lncRNA from 1 species